CUAUUCCAUCCUUCUCCAUCUCCAAGGUACUAAUUCAUUAUGUAAAUUUGUCGGGAGAAAGCUCAUUCAAAAGGUGACGAAGUCCACAAGGGCCCGGUGCAAAUAACAAGGACCCUCUUCCCCCACACGCCCGCAGGUGAAUUAUUCCUG
ensembl:ncRNA F41D9.8 ncRNA